rnacentral:rRNA from 1 species
GAUGAACGCUAGCGGCAGGCUUAACACAUGCAAGUCGAGGGGUAGGAGAAGCUUGCUUUUCUGAGACCGGCGCACGGGUGCGUAACGCGUAUGCAAUCUACCUUUCACAGAGGGAUAGCCCAGAGAAAUUUGGAUUAAUACCUCAUAGUAUAAUUGAAUGGCAUCAUUUAAUUAUUAAAGAUUUAUCGGUGAAAGAUGAGCAUGCGUCCCAUUAGCUAGUUGGUAUGGUAACGGCAUACCAAGGCAACGAUGGGUAGGGGUCCUGAGAGGGAGAUCCCCCACACUGGUACUGAGACACGGACCAGACUCCUACGGGAGGCAGCAGUGAGGAAUAUUGGACAAUGGGCGCAAGCCUGAUCCAGCCAUGCCGCGUGCAGGAUGACGGUCCUAUGGAUUGUAAACUGCUUUUAUACAGGAAGAAACACUCCCUCGUGAGGGAGCUUGACGGUACUGUAAGAAUAAGGAUCGGCUAACUCCGUGCCAGCAGCCGCGGUAAUACGGAGGAUCCAAGCGUUAUCCGGAAUCAUUGGGUUUAAAGGGUCCGUAGGCGGUCAGGUAAGUCAGUGGUGAAAGCCCAUCGCUCAACGGUGGAACGGCCAUUGAUACUGUCUGACUUGAAUUAUUAGGAAGUAACUAGAAUAUGUAGUGUAGCGGUGAAAUGCUUAGAGAUUACAUGGAAUACCAAUUGCGAAGGCAGGUUACUACUAAUUGAUUGACGCUGAUGGACGAAAGCGUGGGUAGCGAACAGGAUUAGAUACCCUGGUAGUCCACGCCGUAAACGAUGGAUACUAGCUGUUGGGAGCAAUCUCAGUGGCUAAGCGAAAGUGAUAAGUAUCCCACCUGGGGAGUACGAACGCAAGUUUGAAACUCAAAGGAAUUGACGGGGGCCCGCACAAGCGGUGGAGCAUGUGGUUUAAUUCGAUGAUACGCGAGGAACCUUACCAAGGCUUAAAUGUAGAUUGACCGUUUGGAAACAGAACU